AAAAGUAACCUCCGAUUUUGGAACCUAAAGCUGGGGUUAUCCGCUCGCUUAUUCUCAAACAUACCCGGGUAUGUCACAUAACCUGCAUUUUGGAAUACGCCCCGUGUUAACUGGGUUCACACUCCAGUCCAGCGGGUGGCGCUAAAACACAUACAUUCGUUUGCCAAACACCACUGAACCUCAGAAGAAAAUCCGUUUCACCACGAUCUCUGUUGUUGUUAUGUCGGGAUGCUGCCUUAAUAAAAAAGCUUAGAAACGUUUCUUUUAAGAGAAAAAUACAGUUUUCGAGUCAGGUCUGUAAAUACCUGUAAUAUUCUCGUCCUCACAGUUGUGACUAGGUUUUGAAACAAGCAGGGAUAUCUGGAGGAUUAUCAUCUGAACUGAGAUCUGCUGCCGUGAAGAUGAUGUUUGUUAAAGAGGAGAGAGAAGAGGACACGAUUGAACCAGAAACCUGGAGAAUAAAACACGAGGAACCAGAACCCUGGAGAAUAAAACAUGAGGAACAAGGAGCCGUUCCGGGCAGUUGACGUAGGACAGACUCGUAGAGCACGCACUGGUGAUUAGUGACGAACGAGGAAGCGUGGAUAAGAGACACCAAAACAAAACGAGGGUCACUAAUUAGAAGCACAAAACCAGGAUUGGUAAAGAAAAAAUAUUGGAGGAUUUCGUUAUAAGCCAGGAAGAGACUGGAUUUCCUUUGAAAGUGAAGUGAAGGUAGUGACAUUUGCCAAGUAUGGUAACCCAUACUCAGAAUUGGUGCUCUGCAUUUAACCCAUCCAAGUGCACACACACACAGCAGUGAGAAG
ensembl:lncRNA